UGGGGAAUAUUGGGGCAAUGGGGGAAACCCUGACCCAGCAACGCCGCGUGAAGGAAGAAGGCCUUCGGGUUGUAAAACUUCUUUUUACCAGGGACGAAGGACGUGACGGUACCUGGAGAAAAAGCAACGGCUAACUACGUGCCAGCAGCCGCGGUAAUACGUAGGUUGCGAGCGUUGUCCGGAUUUACUGGGUGUAAAGGGCGUGUAGGCGGAGAAGCAAGUUGGGAGUGAAAUCUAUGGGCUCAACCCAUAAACUGCUCUCAAAACUGUUUCCCUUGAGUAUCGGAGAGGCAAGCGGAAUUCCUAGUGUAGCGGUGAAAUGCGUAGAUAUUAGGAGGAACACCAGUGGCGAAGGCGGCUUGCUGGACGACAACUGACGCUGAGGCGCGAAAGCGUGGGGAGCAAACAGGAUUAGAUACC
rnacentral:rRNA from 1 species